rnacentral:rRNA from 1 species
UGGGGAAUAUUGGGCAAUGGGGGAAACCCUGACCCAGCGACGCCGCGUGAGGGAAGAAGGCCUUAGGGUCGUAAACCUCUGUUGUGUGGGAAGAAGAGCGUGACGGUACCACACGAGGAAGUCCCGGCUAACUACGUGCCAGCAGCCGCGGUAAUACGUAGGGGACGAGCGUUGUCCGGAUUUACUGGGCGCAAAGGGCGCGUAGGCGGUCAUUUAAGUCAGCUGCGAAAUGGUGCGGCUUAACCGCAUCAUGCGGUUGAAACUGGAUGACUGGAGUGCGGGAGAGGCAAGUGGAAUUCCCAGUGUAGCGGUGAAAUGCGUAGAUAUUGGGAAGAACACCGGUGGCGAAGGCGACUUGCUGGCCAGCAACUGACGCUGAGGCGCGAAAG